UGCGUAGGGGGCAAGCGUUAUCCGGAUUUACUGGGUGUAAAGGGAGCGUAGACGGCAUAGCAAGUCUGAAGUGAAAGCCCGUGGCUCAACCGCGGAACUGCUUUGGAAACUGUUAAGCUGGAGUACUGGAGAGGCAAGCGGAAUUCCUAGUGUAGCGGUGAAAUGCGUAGAUAUUAGGAGGAACACCGGUGGCGAAAGCGGCUCUCUGGCCUGUAACUGACACUGAGGCUCGAAAGCGUGGGGAGCAAACAGG
rnacentral:rRNA from 1 species